UACAAGUUAUACUAGUACUCAUGUAUUUACUGGGGGAAAAAAUCCUCUCCAAGUUGUUCUUAAAAUGUUUUCCUGAAAUUAUGUUUUACAAUUUAACUAGACCUUUCUUCAAAGAGCUUCCCACUAAUUAUCUCCUCAUAAAUGGAUCAGCUUCAUAGUGUUCUAGAAAAUGAGAGCAAAUUUGGGAGUGGUUUUUAAAUGCUCUUAUAUUCCAAAAUGUAUCAUUUUGAUGAUUACAUGGUUUUAAACAACAAACUACAUCUAGUUAAUAGUAUUGUAACAAUAUGUAUCAUUUUGCAAAAGCUUUCAUAUUCCAAAUCCAUCAUUUUAGUAAUACAGGCCAAAGGACAUGGAUAGUGGUUUUGCCAAAUGAAGUUAAUGGUUAUGAAAUAGGCAUAUAGACGUGAAUCACAUUUUUAUCUUUUUUUCUCACUCAUUUUCCUUGUAAAGAUUUUAUUUAUUUGACAGAGAGAGAGACACAAUCAGGAGGAGCAGCAGGCAGAGGGAGAGGGAGAAGCAGACUCCCUGCUGAGCAGAGAGCCCUACAGCAUGGGCCUUGAUCCCAGGACCCUGGGAUCAUGACCUGAGCCAAAGGCAGACACUUAACUGACUGAGCCAUCCAGGUGCCCCUUCUGACUCAUUUUUUACUUUCAUCUAAAAAAAGGGGAAGUCUCCUAAUUGAAAAACUCUGUCUUUAUUCUUUUUAUUUUCUCUAUUCUUUCAUAUCUAAGGAUCUUUAAAAAAGAGCUUUUAAGUGGUUUCUUUAUAACCUAUGGAUAUAGAUUCAUAUAAAAGAUCCUGCUUCUGUUUUUUAUUAGUGGCUAGAAAGCCCUUGACCAAAUUUGAGGCCCAUGUCUUACACAUCUCACUGUAGACAUUUAGGGCCUUUACUAUUUCUUUCUUCUCUUUUCUUUCCUUUUUUUCUUUUCUUUUUUUUUUUUUUUUUUUUUUUUUUUAGUUAGAUAAGGCAGAGUCAGUGAUUAGAGCAGGAAAAAAUUAAUACAAAAUGAUCAAUACCAAGAUAUCCAGAUGACAUUACUAAAAUAUGAAGAAUUAAGUAUCAGAUGAACAUCUAUGCAGAAAAAGCAAGUCAUAUGUAAGACGAAAAGACUGGCCAUAUACAGCUCUUGAGGACAACACUUCAACGCCAAAAGACAGUGAAGCAAUGUUCUUCAGUUUCUGAGAAGUGUGAUGCAAGACCUUUAUGUCCCGCCAAAUUGAUCUUCAAAAACAAAUGUAACAAACAGGACUAUGCUGAAAACCUGAAGUGGGAACAGGUGCACCAGAGCAAGAGAGGAGGCCUGCUUCCCAGCUGAAUCCUGUGGGCCCCGGUGUGCACAGCAGCUCUCCCUAGCCCACAGAGAGUCUUGUUUGUUCUCCCUGACUAUUAAAAUGGCAGUAAGUGUA